rnacentral:rRNA from 1 species
UACAGAGGGUGCAAGCGUUAAUCGGAAUUACUGGGCGUAAAGCGUGCGUAGUCGGUUAUUUAAAUCGGGCGUGAAAGCCCCGGGCUCAACCUGGGAAUUGCGUUCGAUACUGGAUAGCUAGAGUUCGGCAGAGGGAAGCGGAAUUUCGGGUGUAGCGGUGAAAUGCGUAGAUAUCCGAAGGAACAUCAGUGGCGAAAGCGGCUUCCUGGACCAGAACUGACGAUCAGGCACGAAAGCGUGGGGAGCAAACAGG